AACUACCAACAGCCCGGGUACACAUUGAUUGGGGUACGGGGGCCAAGGCCGUGGAAGUGGGCAUCAUGCCAGAUUUGCCAGCGGAAGUGUUGCUGGGGAAUGAUUUAGGAUGCCUGACGUCCCAAUUGGCAGCCUGCAGUCCAGAAGGAGCACUACCUGUUACCACCCGGCAGCAAUCCAGAGCUAUGGAGGCCUCCCCCUCAAC